AGAGUUUGAUCCUGGCUCAGGAUGAACGCUGGCGGUAUGCUUAACACAUGCAAGUCGAACGGACUCUUCGGAGUUAGUGGCGGACGGGUGAGUAACGCGUGAGAAUCUGGCUUCAGGUUCGGGACAACAGUUGGAAACGGCUGCUAAUACCGGAUGUGCCUUAUGGUGAAAGAUUUAUCACCUGAAGAUGAGCUCGCGUCUGAUUAGCUAGUAGGUGUGGUAAGAGCGCACCUAGGCGACGAUCAGUAGCUGGUCUGAGAGGAUGAUCAGCCACACUGGGACUGAGACACGGCCCAGACUCCUACGGGAGGCAGCAGUGGGGAAUUUUCCGCAAUGGGCGAAAGCCUGACGGAGCAAUACCGCGUGAGGGAGGAAGGCUCUUGGGUUGUAAACCUCUUUUCUCAGGGAAGAAUGAUGACGGUACCUGAGGAAUAAGCAUCGGCUAACUCCGUGCCAGCAGCCGCGGUAAUACGGAGGAUGCAAGCGUUAUCCGGAAUGAUUGGGCGUAAAGCGUCCGCAGGUGGCAAUGUAAGUCUGCUGUCAAAGCGUCUGGCUCAACCAGAUAAAGGCAGUGGAAACUACAUAGCUAGAGUAAGGUAGGGGUAGAGGGAAUUCCUGGUGUAGCGGUGAAAUGCGUAGAGAUCAGGAAGAACACCGGUGGCGAAAGCGCUCUGCUGGACCUUAACUGACACUGAGGGACGAAAGCUAGGGGAGCGAAUGGGAUUAGAUACCCCAGUAGUCCUAGCCGUAAACGAUGGAUACUAGGCGUUGCCCGUAUCGACCCGGGCAGUGUCGUAGCUAACGCGUUAAGUAUCCCGCCUGGGGAGUACGCAGGCAACUGUGAAACUCAAAGGAAUUGACGGGGGCCCGCACAAGCGGUGGAGUAUGUGGUUUAAUUCGAUGCAACGCGAAGAACCUUACCAGGGCUUGACAUGUCCGGAAUCCUCUUGAAAGGGAGGAGUGCCUUCGGGAGCCGGAACACAGGUGGUGCAUGGCUGUCGUCAGCUCGUGUCGUGAGAUGUUGGGUUAAGUCCCGCAACGAGCGCAACCCUCGUUCUUAGUUGCCAUCAUUAAGUUGGGAACUCUAAGGAGACUGCCGGUGACAAACCGGAGGAAGGUGGGGAUGACGUCAAGUCAGCAUGCCCCUUACGCCCUGAGCUACACACGUACUACAAUGCUAUGGACAAAGGGCAGCAAGCCAGCGAUGGCAAGCAAAUCUCGUAAACCAUGGCUCAGUUCAGAUCGCAGGCUGCAACUCGCCUGCGUGAAGUCGGAAUCGCUAGUAAUUGCAGGUCAGCAUACUGCAGUGAAUUCGUUCCCGGGCCUUGUACACACCGCCCGUCACACCAUGGAAGCUGGUCACGCCCGAAGUCGUUACCCUAACCUUUCGAGGAGGGGGACGCCGAAGGUAGGACUGGUGACUGGGGUGAAGUCGUAACAAGGUAGCCGUACCGGAAGGUGUGGCUGGAUCA
rnacentral:rRNA from 1 species